rnacentral:rRNA from 1 species
GAAUCUUGCACAAUGGGCGAAAGCCUGAUGGAGCAACGCCGCGUGAGUGAAGAAGGUUUUCGGAUCGUAAAACUCUGUUGUAAGGGAAGAACAAGUACAGUAGUAACCGGCUUUACCUUGACGGUACCUUAUUAGAAAGCCACGGCUAAUGACGUGCCGUCAGCCGCGGUAAUAGGUAGGUGGCAAGCGUUGUCCGGAAUUAUUGGGCGUAAAGGGAGCGUAGGCGGUCCUUUAAGUCUGAUGUGAAAGCCCACGGCUCAACCGUGGAGGGGCAUUGGAAACUGGGGGACUUGAGUGCAGAAGAGGAAAGUGGAAUUCCAAGUGUAGCGGUGAAAUGCGUAGAGAUUUGGAGGAACACCAGUGGCGAAGGCGACUUUCUGGUCUGUAACUGACGCUAAGGCGCGAAAGCGUGGGGGGCAAACA